AGAGUUUGAUCCUGGCUCAGGACGAACGCUGGCGGCGUGCUUAACACAUGCAAGUCGAGCGGAAAGGCCCUUCGGGGUACUCGAGCGGCGAACGGGUGAGUAACACGUGAGCAACCUGCCCCAGGCUUUGGGAUAACCCCGGGAAACGGGGGCUAAUACCGGAUAUUCACUUGCUGUCGCAUGGUGGUGAGUGGAAAGAUUUUUCGGCUUGGGAUGGGCUCGCGGCCUAUCAGCUUGUUGGUGGGGUGAUGGCCUACCAAGGCGACGACGGGUAGCCGGCCUGAGAGGGCGACCGGCCACACUGGGACUGAGACACGGCCCAGACUCCUACGGGAGGCAGCAGUGGGGAAUAUUGCACAAUGGGCGGAAGCCUGAUGCAGCGACGCCGCGUGAGGGAUGACGGCCUUCGGGUUGUAAACCUCUUUCAGCAGGGACGAAGCGUAAGUGACGGUACCUGCAGAAGAAGCGCCGGCCAACUACGUGCCAGCAGCCGCGGUAAGACGUAGGGCGCGAGCGUUGUCCGGAUUUAUUGGGCGUAAAGAGCUCGUAGGCGGCUUGUCGCGUCGACUGUGAAAACCCGCAGCUCAACUGCGGGCCUGCAGUCGAUACGGGCAGGCUAGAGUUCGGUAGGGGAGACUGGAAUUCCUGGUGUAGC
rnacentral:rRNA from 1 species